rnacentral:rRNA from 1 species
GACGAACGCUGGCGGCGUGCCUAACACAUGCAAGUCGAACGGACAGGCCCUGCUUUUGUUGCGUUCUCGAGUGGCGAAGGGGUGAGUAACACGUGAGUAACCUGCCCCUGACUUUGUGAUAACAUCAGGAGACAGGGGCGAAUACCGGAUAUGAGCUCCUGCUGCAUGGUGUGGGUUGGUAAGAUUCGGCGGUCGGGGAUGGACUCGCUGCUUAUCAGCUUGUUUGUGUGGUAGUGGCUUACAAAGGCUUUGACGGAUAGCCCGCCUGGGAGGGUGACCGGCGUCAUUGGGCCUGAGGUAGGGCCCAGACUCCUACGGGAGGCAGCAGUGGGGAGUAUUGCGCAGUGGGCGGAAGCCAGAUGCAGCAACGUCGCGAGCGGGAUGACGGCUUUCGAGUUGUAAACCGAUUUCGAAGGUACCGAAGCCUGCGUGACGGUAAUUGGUAAAGAAGCAACGGCUAACUACGUG